rnacentral:lncRNA from 1 species
UGAUGAGAGAGAUCUCGAGAGGAGGCAGAAGACCUAGGUGGUUGUGGAACAGAGGGACAGAGUCUAUGAUCUGGACAACAUCGUCACAGGAACUGCCAACGAAAACCCCGUUGACGGCGGAGGUUUUGUGCUUCAGAGAGUGGAGUACUAGUUUUAUGUAGGCGUUUUGUGAAAUCUCGUAUCUCAAUUCACCACCACUACCACCCAUCGUAUUUUUUCCUUCUCAAUUCGAGAAAAUUGCCUCGUAUCUUGGCUGGGUUUGUCUGUCUAUCGCUCAGUCUCAAUUCUCCAACUAUUUAACAUCCCGUAAUCAGUCUUGGCUUAAUUCUUCGUAUUAGGUGUUUUUUCACAACAUGUUACAACUAUAUAUUUUUUAUUCUUUUAGUUUCAAAAUAUAUAUUUUUAUAUGGUUUUAAUUAAUUAAUAUCAAAAAUUAAAAUUUAAAAAUAAAAAAAUAUAUUAUUUUAAAAAAUAAAAAAUAAAUUUAAAAAACAACUCCUACAAUAUUUUUAAAUAAAUACGAAGUCUCUCCUUAAACCAUACAAUUUGAAUUGAGAUCAAAACUCAAUGUCUCAAACUUAUUCCCGAUCCAAAUCCCAACAUUAGUCCCAACCUAAACCAUACCCCACAUCAAACUUAGCCCGAACUUCAAACGUCUCAAAUCAACUUCCAUAUGUGCCUUGAUGUAAAUACGAAUCUCGAGAUUGCAUCUCAAACUCUAAUAAUGACUUAGCCAUAACUAGAAGCACCUUAGACUUUGUCUUAGACUAGCUUGAAUCCUAAAAGUUAUAAACCUGGCCCUUACCCAACUUCUGAGCACUUUAGACUAGGUCUCAAACAAACCUUGAUUGCUCAAGUUGACUCUUUAACUCCCUAUACUAAACCUUGAUUUCUAUGACAAACUCUUUGGCAUUCUAGCUCGGUGUCCCAAUUUGAAACUUAAGCACUCUGGUUUGGGUUUUAACCCAAACUUUAUACGCCCCAAACAAGACCUUGGCCUAAAUCUCGAUUGCUCUGAACCUAGUUCGAACCAACUUUUGGUCACCUUGAACCAAGUGUCAGUUUAGACCCUAGACACCCUAGACAUGGUUUAGAACCAAAUGUCAAGCCUUCGAACCCAAUUCCUGACCCAAACCCCGAACUUGUUCCUAACUAAAUCCCAAGACCCCAAACCUAGUCAUUAAAUGCUUGAGCGCACUGAACAUGCUCUUGAAUUGAAUCCAAGACACCAAGUCUCAGCCAUAACUCGAGAUAUAAUCCACUAAAAAGUUUGAAACCACUUUUUUUAAUUUUCAUAUUUUCUUUUCAAAUAUUUGAAAAAUAAAAACAAAAAACAAUACCAAAUAUCUUCAUUUUUAAUACUAGAUUCUCUUGAAAGUCUAAAAUAACACCUAAAAGAGGGUAAUUAGGUUUUAAUUGAAUAUUUGAUACUUUAAAAAAUUUAAUCAUUUUAAACCUUUAAAUUUUUGGUAACAAAUAUCAAAUAUGAAAUGCACAAAUAAAAUGAGAUAAAGAUCAAGAUAGACAUACCAAAUUUAUAGUGGUUUGGACAAUCACCUACUCUACUCGUUGAAUCAUCAUUCAAAUAUUCACUAUUAACUUAUGAUUUUCUUAAUAUGUGAGACCUUGCCAAUACAUUGAUUUUUUUUUAUAGGAACAAGAUUAGAAAACCUUUCACUCAUUCAAGAUCAAGAUCUUAACUUUUUAAUAGCUCACAACCAAAUAUUUUUCUAAAUGGUUUAAGUGCUACUUACACUUUCACAAUAGAUUCUCUCUUUUAAGGAUUUUUCACACCUUACAAUAUAAUAGCUUUAUGGAAUGUGAUCUAUCUCAAGAAUGUGGAAUGGAUGAUUGAUGCAAAUAAAGUCAAUAUAAUAGUUUACAUCUAGAGCAAGUCAACCAUUUUCUAAAUGGUUUAAGUGCUACUUACACUUUCACAAUAGAUUCUCUCCUUUAAGGAUUUUUCACACCUUACAAUAUAAUAGCUUUAUGGAAUGUGAUCUAUCUCAAGAAUGUGGAAUGGGUGAUUGAUGCAAAUAAAGUUUAAAUUUUUGAGAGGAUUAUGAAAAUAAUAAAAGCUUUUAGAUUAAAGAGUUUAUAAGCAUAAAGUGUUGUAAGGUAAUUUACAUGAGGUGAACAAGUGGUAUUUUUAGGUGAAAAUCAUCGCAUAGCCAUUACUCUCACUAAGAAAGAUGGAGUAAAAUAUUUUGAAUUUUUAAUGUAUUUUUCCAUCUAUUAAAAAAGAUUAUAACAUGUUUUUAAGAGAAAAUGAGUUUUCACAAUAGCUUUUGAGUGCUAAACAAAUUAACUCUUCAGAGUAAAAUAAGUUAAGUAUAACUCUUUCAAAGUACAAGCUUACAACUUAGUUAAAAAUAAAAAAGAUAUUUUUAGUGUGAUCAAAGUGUAAGAGAUCAUUUAUUAAGUUUAUGUAAUCUAUUUAAAAAUAAUUUGAGUGAUAACAUCAAAAUAUAUAAUAAUUUUUUUUUUCAUGAGGUAUUUUUCACAAUGUAUUGAUUUCAAUAAUGAUAAAUUUUUUGGAUAAUAAACUUGGCAAUGAAAAUAUAUUGUGAUGUCAAAUUAAAUUAUAUAAAGACUUGAUUAUAUGGAUUUAAGUUUAAACAUCUUCAAAUCAAGAUUGCGUUCAAGGAGUUCAUUUUGAUUCAAUUUGAUAAGGAAAAAUUCCUAUAACAUUCAAACUUUUGAUGCACACACUAGUUAAAAUAUCAUGUAUUGCUACAAAGAGCAACUUACCAGAAAGUAUGUGUAAGUGUGAGAAAAUAUUUUUUUUUAAUCAUAAUUACUUGGAAUUUUAAAAUUCUAUGUUUUAAUAACAAUUUAAUUUUAUAGAAAUGUUUUUUUAAUAAUUCAGCAACAAUUAUAUGAAAAAACACAAACAUACAAAUAUAAAAUACUCACUUAAGGAACAAAACAAAGAUUGUUUUGAAUUAUAUAUGUUAAAAUCCAUAUCUAUAUCUAAAAGAACUAACUUUUUAUUAAAACAUUUGAUUAGAAAACACUUUAAAUUUUUAAAUAUCAUCUCAUGUAUUAAAAUAAUUUUAUUGGUAGAGACUAAAUAUAUUAUCUUAUUUAAGAAAAUUACAUGAAAAUAGUCUACUCCAUAUAUAGAAAUGAUGGUUUUUUUUUUUGUAUAUUUGAGCAAAGCUUAACUCCAUUUAAGGAAAUGAUUGAUUUAUUUUACAUGACAUAGCCUAACUAUGUUUUACAUACAUAUAAUACUAUUAUAUUUAUAGCUAACUAUUUAUUAUAUACAUAUUUAUGUAUCUUAUAAAUCCUUAAAUAAUAUAAAGGGAUAAUUAUUAAUAAAUAAAAAUCAGUCCAAUUAAGAAAACCCUGGAAUUCUCUCUUUCUCCUCUUUAUAAACCCCCUCUAUAUAUCAUUUUUUGGGCUAUCAUCAAUGACUAUUUCAUCGAGGACAACCCCUUCCUUUUUUCUCUCAUAAUUUUUCUUUUUCUUUUUUUCUUUUUCUAAUAAUUCCAGAUCGAGUUUUUGAAUCUAAUAUUUCCAAUAAUUAUAGAUUUAGGUUUAUAUGAUCUAAAAUCUAUGAUUUUAUUUGGUUUGUUGUUCUUAACAUAUGAGGUUUUUGUUGUUGAUUUGUGUUAAGUAAAGGUUUGUUCAAAUAUCUAUAAUGAAUAAGAGCAUGGAUUUAUAGUCUGAGAGCUUAUUUGUAGUGUUAUAAUUAUUAUUGUUUUAAAUACUUUUUACUUAGAAAUAUAUCAAUUUUUUUUUAGUUUUGAUAUCAACAUAUUAAAAUAAUUAAAAAAAAGUUAAUUUGGAGCAAAGAAAAAAAAAUUAAGUUUUUCAAAAACAUUUUUAAAAUGAAAAAACAAACGAGCUUUUAAGAAGAUUUCAAGUGAUAUGACUGAAUAAAAUGUUGAUGAAAAGAGGUUUUAAUAGCCUAUAAUGUUCUUGUUGCAUCCAUCAAAUAAAACAUGGUAUUGUGGCUUGUUUCUCAUAAGUGGUGGAAGUAGGAAAUGAGGGUUCAUUUGAAUGUAUGUGAAAUAUAAAGGAUGAGACGUUACUUGGAAGGUCAAUGGUUUAUAUUAUAGCGAGAAAGUCUUUUUUCACUUGAUUAUAAUUGAUUCCAUGCUUGCAAUCUCUAUGUGAGUCUUAGGGAAAUUAUAAUUUUUAUGUUCUAUUUUCAAUAUUAAUUAAAUUAUAGUUUUAUUUUCAAUAUUAAUUAAAUUAUAUUUUUUUACAAAAAGAAAUUAUAAAUCAAACCCAAACCUAUGAAAUUUUUCACAAGUCAAUCCCCGACUUUUGAAAUUUUGCAACAAGUAGUACAUCAUAUUACAAUUAUAUAUUGACAUUGUUUAAAUAUCAAGAAUUAUAUAUAUAUAUAUAUAUAUAUAUAUAUAUAUAAAAGAAACAAUUAAGGAAAAUAUUGAUGUAAAUAGGGAUGAAAAUCCAUUUUAAGAGAGGAUAAACCAUAAAAUGUUAUUAUUACCUAUUGUAUUUACAACAAGCAUUUAAGCAUCUCUAGUAGUGCAAUGGGUGUGUGUAUAUAUACGUUGUUAAAAUUGCAUUUAAGUGUGUUUGGCUUGAAAAAAUAUUAAAUUAAUUUUUUAGUACUUUCUGAUUGUUUUGAUGUGUUGAUGUAAAAAAUCACCCCAUACAACUAGUCUUAACAAUUCGAACAUGAAUUCUUGGGUUGGCAGUGCAUCCUUCUUUCCUUUGUGAAUCAAUUCUUCCAUUAUCGUUUUAAUCAACUAUUUGCCGAUUCAGUUACAAUACAAAUUCUUGUUUUCCUUAUAGGAAAGUUCAUGGCUGCAAAACUUCCAAAGAAACAAAUUUCGAACCCAUUUAUAAAAUGAUCAUUUUCAUUUAAUCCAAGGGUUUUCAUUAUGAAAGAACAUGUAUUGAUCACCAUAUUUUCCAAUUGUGGAGCCGUUGGUGUAUAUACAAUGUAUAUGAUUACAAUCAUUAAAGCCUUCUACCACAAAGGACUUCAUCCUAUUGAAAAUUAAACUCAAUUUCUAGUUUGUUAUGAAGAACAAAGGAACCGGUCAAUUGGUUGGAUUAAAUAAAUCAUCCAACCGGUUGAGAAAGAUCAAUCGGUUCGGUUGGCAUAAUACAAUUCCUGUUCAAAUUAUGAUUUUCUUGUAUUAGUUUAAUUUCUUAAUUAUCUAUGACGUUAAGCUUAUAAAAGGCUUGUAAUUCAACAUUAUUCAGUAACACAAAAGAGAGAGAAUAACUAAGAGAGCUUAAAGAGAAACACAUAAUAAAAGUAUACCUUCCUCUCAAUCUUCUUUUUGUUCUUAAGUUUUUGACUUUGCAUUACUAUUUUUUAUCUUAUGUCACACUUAUCUUUCUUUUGACAAGUGGUAUUAGAGCUUGUUUUAAUUUUUUUUUAUCAUGGCUAAUCUAAACUUUCCAUUUCAAUAUCCUUGUUUGAUAAAAGAUAGCUAUAAAAUUUGGUGUAUUAGAGUAAAAGUUUGGCUAAGUUUCAAUGAUGUAUAGGAAAUGGUUAAGAAAGGCUUUAAGGAUCCUAUAGAAAGAGCAAUGUUAACUUUUACCUAAAGGGAGGCUGUGCAAAAGGCACGAAAGAAGGAUAAAAAAAUCACUCAUAAUCAUUCACCAAUGUUUGGAUGAAGCCAUUUUUGAGAUAAUGACAAACACAACCACCGCCUAGCAAGCAUAAGAAGUUUUGCAACAAUCAAACCUAGGUUUGACAAAACAAAGGUUAAAUGUUAUAUUUUAAAAGGUAAGUCAUUAUGCUAGGGAUUGUUAGAAUCUAACUAGAAGAGUUGAGAAGAAUGCCAAUUUUGUUGUAGAAAAAGAGAAAGAAACCACCCUAUUACUAGUCCAUUAUGAACAAAUGCAAGGUAAUAUAAUAUGUGGUAUCUAGACAAUGGUUCCAUCAAUCACAUGUAUGGAGAUAAAGACAAGUUUAUGGAGCUUGAUGAAUCAAUUAAAGGUAAUGUCACCUUUACAAAUCAUUCAAAAAUUUUCAUCAAAGAAAAAUAUAUGAUUAUCAUAAAAUUAAAAAAUAAAAAUUAUCAAUUUAUUGGUGAUGUCUAUUAUAUCCCUAUUGUAAAGAGAAAUAUAUUGAGUUUGAGACAAUUGUUGGAGAAGGGUUAUAUGAUUAAGAUGAAAGAUUGUUUAUCGACAUUACUUGAUACUUAUGGAGCUAUAAUUACAAAGGUAACCAUGAAAAAGAACAUAAUGUUUUUUCUAAACAUAGAGAUGGAUGUGCCUUAUUGCUUAAAGGCAAGUGUGAAAGAUGAGACUUGGCUUUGACAUAUAAGACUUGGGCAUGUAAACUUUGAUAUCUUAAAGAUGAUGGCAUAAAAAGAGAUGUUGAAGGGUCUACAAUCCAUUAUACAUCCAAAUCAGUUGUGUGAAAGAUGUUUAGUGGACAAACAAUUAUGCAAAAGCUUUCCAAAAGAGUUUACAUCUAGAGCAAGUCAACCUCUACUAGAGAUACAUGCAGAUGUUUGUGGUCCUAUCAUACCAUGUUUGUUUGAUAAAAAUCUGUAUUUUCUAUUUUUUUUUAUUAAUGAUUAUAAUAGAAAAAGUUUUUUAAAAAAAUCUAAUGUAUUUAAUUGUUUUAAGAAGUUUAAGACAUUAUAAUUGAAAAAGAAAGUGAUUGAUCUAUAAAAUCACAUAGGAUGAAUAGAGGAUAGAUUUCAUUCUAAUAAUUUUAACGAGUCUUGUAAAGAUCAUGGUAUAAAGAGACUCUUAAUGAUGCUUAGAUCCCCACAACAAAAUGGUGCGGUGAAAAGAAAGAAUAGAAGUAUCCUCAACAUGGUAAGAAACAUGCUCAAAACCAAGAGGAUGCCUAAAGAGUUUUGGGUUAAAGCUAUAGAUUAUGCUAUCUAUUUGUCAAAUAGGUGUCUUACUAAAGGUUUAAAUGACAUAUGUUGUAACCCAUUUUUGGGUCCCCACAUAAAAAAUAAUAAUAAAAUUCAAAAAAAUUCAAAAAAAUAUAUUAUCAAAAAAUAUAACAGUGAAAAAAUGCCAGAGCGCUCUAAAAAUGCUCAAAAAUUGAUUGAGGAUGUUCAAAAAUAUAAAAAGUAAUUUUUGACAGUAUAUCAUUGACUAAAGAGAGCCCCGAUGAUAAAGAAAAUUCAAUUUGAGGAAGAAAAAUACAAAAUUAGAAGUUUAUGGACUCAAUUAAAUUUUUAUUGAAGGUUUAAUUGAAUUUAUAGAUUUUAAUUGCAAAAAAAUUGAUUUUGGAGUUAAUUUGGGCUUUAAUUAGAGAAAUUAAUUUUCUGGGUCAAAUUAUAAUUUUUGGAAGUUAAUUUGGUCAAAUCAGGGGCUUAAUUGCAUAAAUAUUGAAGUUUAAUGGCCAAUUAGGGACUUAAUUGAAGAAAUCCGAGACCAAGGACUAAAUUGUAAAACGCGCGCAAAUGGAGGGCCGAAAUUUGAAUCUGAUGCUUUUGGCGCCUUUUCCUUUUAAAUGAAACGGCGCGUUUUGACCAAAACGGCGCCGUUUCAUUCACUGUUGCUAAAAAAAAAAAAAAAAAAAACAGAAGCCCAAAACGUGCCGUUUUGACGGCACUGUAGCUCUUCUUCUUCCCCUGGACGCGCGAGGCAGGGGAAGAAGAAGAUUUUUUCUUCCCCUUUUCGCCUAAUUUCUUUCCCGUUUGCGCAAUAAGACGCCCGCAAUCACCCACUUGUCUCCUCCUUGUUAUCCUUGAGUUGAUAGUGGAGGGGCGGCCGACAGUGCCGCCCCACCACGACACCGCCCCCUGUUUUUGCCUAUAAAAACAGGGGAGGGGCACUGAAAAAAAAAAAAAAAAAAAGAGAGGAGAAGAGAAGAGAAGGGAGAGACAGAGAGAAGAAAGCAGAAGAAGAAGAAGAAGAAGCAGAGAAGAAAGUCGAACAUCACCACCGCAGGUAGCGUUUCCGUCGUUUUUUUUGUUCUGCAUGCAGAUUAAUUAGCGAGUUAUUGUGCUGUGCACAGUAACUCGCUAAUUAAUUCACGGUUACUGUGCAUGUGCACAGUAACCAGCCCAUGCAAUUGGGCCUGAUCCGGCCCAUAAAAAAAAAGAAAAAAAAAGAAAAAAUAUUAUUGUUUUAAAAAAUAUUUAUGAUGUUCCCAUUUUUUAUUUAUGUUAUUUUUAUUAAUAUCGGGUAGUAUUUUUAUGUCGUAAAAAUACAAAUCGGGUAUUACAAUAUCCGGUUUUUGUCACAAACUUCCAAAAAAUACAAAAAAAAUUUAAAAAAACAUUUUUGUGCAUACGGCCAAGUGUCUCAAAUCUAAAAAAUCAUAUCGUAUUUUUCAUAUGUAAAAAAAAACAAUAUUUAGCAUGCAUUUUGGCUUUAAUAACCAGUUUAUUAAAGUCAAGAGAAUAUUGGCCAAAAUUUCAAAAACAACAAAAAUUUUAUUUUGUUUGUCUCUUAGAACCCGGGGUAUGACAUUACAUGUAAUGCGUAUUCCGAACAAUAAUAAACCACAACACGAUCUUAUAUUUUAUCAUACAUUAAAACAAUGCAGCCUACCUUAGGUAGGGCGUAGUUGGGGUGCUAAUACCUUCCCUUUACGCAACCAGUCUCCGUACCCGAUCUCUAAAGACCAGUUAAGGUUCCUAGUAACCAGAACACUAGGUGGCAACUCCCAUUCCAAUUUUUCACUUGUAGAGACAAGAAUUUCCUUGUCUCUCUCCCUUUUUUCCAGGAAUAAAUUAUUCCGAUUUUCCCUUGAGGGUGGACGAUCACCGCGCCGCCGCACACGUGCGACAGAAUGGCGACUCCACUGGGGACCUUGUGGACUAAGCUUUGUUUUUGUCUGAUUUUUGUGUUUUUUGUUGUGGUUUGCGUGUUUAUUUUUAAAUAUGCAUUUCCUUUUCUUUUUUUUUAUGCGCUUUAAUUUCUGUACAUAUUUUUCAAAGCAUACACAAGCCUUUAAGUUAUGUGGGGAAUUAACGAUCUGCCCUAUGACUAUUGGUCGGGUUUAGAUGCGUGAAACACCCAACUCAUAUCUGAGAGCCUGCUUGGUAAUGGUGGGCAUACGUGCCUUAACUGUUCUUUGCAACGCCCCCAUACUGCCUUUACGAAGGACGUCACUGGGAGAUAUGAGACCCUUUUGAGACCAGGUAGAAAACCUAUUCAUGAAUAGACCCUGUCUUUAGUUUGUAUGCGCUAUCUUUCUUUACAGAAUAUGUCAUACAAAAAUUAAAAAAAAUCAUGUCACCCUUGAAGGGCAAGUGCAUCAUAUAAAUUACAUGUUCAUACAUUUAACAUGCAUACAUGUCAGAUUGAAAUAUAGGUCCCCAAAAAGUCUACAACACCCGACUUCGAGCAAGAAACAUGGAAGAUGAAGAGCGUGCUCAACGUGAGGCCUAUUUGCACGACGAGUUGGAGUCUCUGAAAAUAAGUGUGGCUCACCUCACUAGCUUACUCAAGCAAACACUAAGAAAUACCUCUGAUGAAGGUCCUUCUAAUCAACCGAUCACCUUUGCUCCGGCUCCUACUACAGUUCAGCCUGAGGAAAGAAUGAGCGAACAUGGUCAAGAACCUCAGCAAAAUCCAACAUUUGUGCAGUCAACGACACCUGCACCAUCCCCAACAGUCGUGAAGGCAUCUGCUAAUGAGUCCUACAAGGCUAAGUCAUCUGAUAGCAUUGAUCAAGCUAAGAUAGAGGCGUGGAAGCCAGACUCAAAGCCAUUGAAGGGAUAGACUUAUAUGACCCGGUCCGGGCAGCAGAGAUGUGUUUGGUCCCAAAUGUGGUUGUCCCAAAGAAAUUUCGUGUUCCUGAAUUCAUCAAAUACAGUGGAACACAAUGCCCCAUGACUCAUCUCAGGUCCUACUGCAAUAAAAUGGCUGAGGUAGUACAUGAUGAAAAACUACUAAUGCACUUUUUCCAAGACAGUUUAAGUGGGGCAACUUUGAGUUGGUACAUGAGAUUGGAUAACACAAAAAUUCGCAACUGGAAAAAUCUUGUGGAUGCUUUCGUCAAGCAAUACAAAUACAACAUGGACAUUGCGCCCGACAGAACCAGUUUGUCCAAUAUAGAGAAAAAGGAUAAAGAAAGCAUAAGGGAAUAUGCUCAAAGAUGGCGAGAAUUAGCUGCUCAAGUACAUCCCCCACUUCUGGACAAAGAGAUGGUCUCUUUAUUUGCCAAUACACUCAAAGCACCAUAUUACGAACAUAUGAUGGGUAGUUCAGCCCAACAAUUCACUGAUGCUGUGAUAGUGUGUGAACGCAUAGAGCAAGGUGUCAAGAGUGGUAGAAUUGCUGCACCAACCGAGAAAAGAGGCGUCGAAAGAAAAGAGGUUCACCAUGUUGAAGAUGGCUACAUGGGUAAAACAAAUACAUCCCGAAAUUACCAUACUCCAUCCCAAAUUGCCAACAUCAAAAAACCUGAACCCCAAAACUUUCAAGCCAAAAGCCAAAUUGGAAAUUUCCAAAGGGUUCAAGAACAACUACCUCCACUACCGUUACCCCUGAAUGAGAUGUAUCAAAAGCUAUUAGCAUCGGGCAAAUAGCUCCAGAACCUCUAACACCUCUGCAGCCACCUUAUCCUAAUUGGUACAAGCCAGAACUCAAUUGUGAAUACCAUGCCGGUAUUACUGGGCAUAGCAUCUAUACCUGCAACGCCUUCAAGAGAAAGCUUCUGCAAUUAAUCAAGGCUGGGUGGAUAGAAUUGGAAGAUGCCCCCAAUGUGAAUACGAACCCGUUGCCUAAUCAUGCUUGAAGCAUAUUAGGAUGGAAUGUUUGGGGAAUUGGAAAGCAUCAAUGGUCCAGCAUGAUAGCUUGAAUUUUGUGAACUCAAAUUGACCGUGGUGUUGUUCCGCAUUGUCUUUGAGUCCUCUACGCAGAGCUUUUGAGAGGAGGUUAGCCUAUGAACAGAUUCGCCAAAAUAGAGGAAUGAAGCCUACCUUGUUAUUGCCUUUUGUUAAUGCUUUUGAAUAAGACUUUCUCUGUUAAUGUGCUUCUCUUGUGAAAUAAGAUCAUGUGUUUUCUUGUGUUCACAUCACACUCUUCUUUGUUGUUAUUACAUGUAAAUAACAUUUUGAGCGCAACUUUGCUCACAACACUACAACAUGAAGAAUCCUUUGGUGUUCCUUUCUUCCAAACCCAUACAUUAAUCUCAUAUGUUUUCAAGGAUAUUUUUUUGGGACCUCCAAAGUGAGUACAAAAACAAAAAUCGUGUUGAUAUUUGUCCAAAACAAAUGCAUUUUGAAAAUUCAAGUGAUUCCUUAAAUAGGUACACAUAUACCUAGAAAACUUGAAAGAAAAAAAACAACAAAGACAAACAACACUAUGAGGUGACUCAAAAGCUGAGUUUUAUUUGACUGAAUAAAUCACUUUGCAUACGCGCAUGAAAGCAAGACCUAUCGAUCCUCAAUGCAUGAGUUUGAGAUGAGGAAAGGCCAUCUUUGAUAAUCCUUUCACAAGGCUGAAAUAUCCGUUGCAGUCCCAUUUUGAGCCUAGUAAUGUUUUUUGGAAAUAACCUUGACUAGGAUCACACCCCACACUGGGGGCAAAAUAAUAGAGUUUUUACCCAUCCAGACAAAGCAGUGAAGAUGGGUGCUGGAUUUGAUCAUGUAAUUUUUAAUCUUUCAUUAUCAUCUAAAUGAAGCAGUGAUUGGUUAAGAAAAGAAAAGAAGAUCUAAAGGAUCUAAAAGAUUUGAGCUUCUCAUAAAACAACUGAUAUGAUUGUGCUCAACCAAACAAAAACGAAGAAAACAAAGAGAAAAGCCCAAACCCGACACUGGGGGCAGACAACAUUUUGAAAAAAAAAAAUCCAAAAGACAAAAGGUCAGGAAACAAGCACAAGUGAUCCCUAGUCUUGAAAUCCCUUAAACACUUUUGAGCCUGCAACAUAUCCAUUUUCUUCGUAACCAAUAGCCAAAGCCUACAUUACAUACCUGAUAAAGCCCUUUCUGAUCAAAGGCAAGCAAUCUGGAUCGGUAGCAGUGCUUUCUGUGCAGUCAAAUCAUUAUUCAUGCAAAUAAAAUAAAUGCUUUGAAUCAAUUCGGUUCUCAAUAACCCUCAAAUUGACAUUUAAACCUUUUGUGACCAACCAUAUGUCACUUCACCUUUAAACCAAAAGCAAAAAGCUUUCAUCACUUCAAGAAACCUGUCCAUAGGAAUCACUUGAAUUUUUUAGAACAAGUUUAUUUUGAACCAAUAUCAAAAUCAUUUUUAUGAUUGGAAUAACUUGGAAGUUCUAAAAAUUUUGCAUGAAAACAUUCAUUGUACAAAAAACCCAAACCUACUUUCACAUAUCCUCACCCUACACUCAACCUAAGUUGAACACUUGGGGGGCAUGAUCAAGCUGGGGGGCAAUCAAAAACACGUGGUAGGGCUGUCUCCAUGAUUCCUUUUCUAAGGAAAAUGUCGGGCAAAAUUGGCAACUCUUAAGAUAAAGGGUGAAGGACAAAGAUGUAUGAUGACAUCAAACACUUCCCAGAGGUCAGUGGAAAAGCCAUCGAAGUUUACUACCAACACUACAACUUUUGAGAGAAAACAAAGACACCAUGAAGAAAUGGGGGCCUAUAUUUCUCAGGUAAGUAUACAUGCAUAUCAAUCAUAAUGCAUUUGCUUUUCAACAUUGACAAUCAUUGUUUCAACAUCAACUUUUGGGUAGUGCGUUUUCUAACCCUACCUCCUUUUGAGUGCGCCUUUGAGCCCUCACCUCCAUUUUGAGUGCGCCUUUGAGCCCUCAUCCCUUGGUAGUGCGUUUUCUAACCCUACCUCCUUUUGAGUGCGCCUUUGAGCCCUCACCUCCAUUUUGAGUGCGCCUUUGAGCCCUCACCUCCUUUUAGUGCGCCUUUGAGCCCUCACCUCCAUUUUGAGUGCGCCUUUGAGCCCUCAUCCCUUUGGUAGUGCGUUUUCUAACCCUACCUCCUUUUGAGUGCGCCUUUGAGCCCUCACCUCCAUUUUGAGUGCGCCUUUGAGCCCUCAUCCCUUGGGUAGUGCGUUUUCUAACCCUACCUCCUUUUGAGUGCGCCUUUGAGCCCUCACCUCCAUUUUGAGUGCGCCUUUGAGCCCUCAUCCCUUGGUAGUGCGUUUUCUAACCCUACCUCCUUUUGAGUGCGCCUUUGAGCCCUCACCUCCAUUUUGAGUGCGCCUUUGAGCCCUCACCUCCUUUUGAGUGCGCCUUUGAGCCCUCACCUCCAUUUUGAGUGCGCCUUUGAGCCCUCAUCCCUUUGGUAGUGCGUUUUCUAACCCUACCUCCUUUUGAGUGCGCCUUUGAGCCCUCACCUCCAUUUUGAGUGCGCCUUUGAGCCCUCAUCCCUUUGGUAGUGUGUUUUCUAACCCUACCUCCUUUGAGUGCGCCUUUGAGCCCUCGUCAUCCACUUCUCCAUGUUUUUUCUGGGUAGGUCACCCAUUACAAUGAGACCAUUCUCCACCUGGGUAGGUCACCCAUUACAACACGACCACUCUUCUUUUUUCAUCUGGGUGGGUCACCCAUUACAAUGAGACCGUUUUUUUUUCAUAUUUUCUUUUGUUUUGGUUAAAUGAGGUUGCCAGAUGGGAUCUCAUGUAGCUUUGGUUAAAGGGAAUCUCCAUAUAGGAUUUCAGGUUGACCGAGCUACACACACAGGAUUUUGGUUCUGGUUAGAGGGGAUUGCCGAAAGGAAUCUCAGUCUAUCCCAACCACACACAGGAUUUUAGUUCUGGUUAGAGGGGAUUGCCGAAAGAAAUCUCAGUCUAUCCCAACCACACACAGGAUUUUGGUUCUGGUUAAAGGGGAUUGCCGAAAGGAAUUUCAGUCUAUCCUAACCACGCAGGUUUUGGUUUCGGUUAAAGGGGAUUGGCGAAAGGAAUCUCAGUCUAUCCCAACCACGCAGGAUUUUGGUUCUGGUUAGAGGGGAUUGCCGAAAAAAAUCUCAGUCUAUCCCAACCACACACAGGAUUUUGGUUCUGGUUAGAGGGGAUUGCCGAAAGGAAUUUCAGUCUAUCCUAACCACGCAGGUUUUGGUUUCGGUUAAAGGGGAUUGGCGAAAGCAAUCUCAGUUUAGCCCAACCACACACAGGACUUUGGGUCCGGUUGAAGUUUUAGGUCAAUCAAAUUUUGAGACGACCAGUUUCGGAAGACCAAUUUUAUUUUAUCUUUACAACACUUACUAUGCACAAAUCUUUGCUCCGUAAGCAUUGUAAAGAGGGGGGCAACUGUUGUAACCCAUUUUUAGGUCCCCACAUAAACAAUAAUAAUAAAAUACAAAAAAAUUCUAAAAAAUAUAUUAUCAAAAAAUAUAACAGUGAAAAAAUGUCAGAGCGCUCUAAAAAUGCUCAAAAAUUGAUUGAGGAUGUUCAAAAAUAUAAAAAGUAAUUUUUGACAGUAUAUCAUUGACUAAUGAGAGCCCCGAUGAUAAAGAAAAUUCAAUUUGAGGAAGCAAAAUGCAAAAUUAGAAGUUUAUGAACUCAAUUAAAUUUUUAUUGAAGGUUUAAUUGAAUUUAUAGAGGUUUUAAUUGCAAAAAAAAAUUGAUUUUGGAGUUAAUUUGGGCUUUAAUUAGAAGAAAUUAAUUUUAUGGGGUCAAAUUAUAAUUUUUGGAAGUUAAAUUGGUCAAAUCAGGGGCUUAAUUGCAUAAAUAUUGAAGUUUAAUGGCCAAUUAGGGACUUAAUUGAAGAAAUCCGAGACCAGGGACCAAAAUGCAAAACACGAGCAAAUGGAGGGCCGAAAUUUGAAUCUGAUGCUUUUGGCGCCUUUUCCUUUUAAAUGAAACGGCGCGUUUUGACCAAAACGGCGCCGUUUCAUUCACUGUUGCUAAAAAAAAAAAAAAAAAAAAAAAACAGAAGCCCAAAACAGUGCCGUUUUGACGGCACUGUAGCUCUUCUUCUUCCCUUGGACGCGCGAGGCAGGGGAAGAAGAAGAUUUUUUCUUCCCCUUUUCGCGCAAUAAGACGCCCGCAAUCACCCACUUGUCUCCUCCUUGUUAUCCUUCUGAGUUGAUAGUGGAGGGGCGGCCGACAGUGGCCGCCCCACCACGACACCGCCCCCCUGUUUUUGCCUAUAAAAACAGGGGAGGGGCACUGAAAAAAAAAAAAAAAAAAAAAGAGAGGAGAAGAGAAGAGAAGGGAGAGACAGAGAGAAGAAAGCAGAAGAAGAAGAAGAAGAAGCAGAGAAGAAAGUCGAACAUCACCACCGCAGGUAGCGUUUCCGUCGUUUUUUUUGUUCUGCAUGCAGAUUAAUUAGCGAGUUAUUGUGCUGUGCACAGUAACUCGCUAAUUAAUUCACGGUUACUGUGCAUGUGCACAGUAACUAGCCCAUGCAAUUGGGCCUGAUCCGGCCCAUAAAAAAAAAGAAAAAAAAAGAAAAAAUAUUAUUGUUUUAAAAAAUAUUUAUGAUGUUCCCAUUUUAUUUAUGUUAUUUUUAUUAAUAUCGGGUAGUAUUUUAUGUCGUAAAAAUACAAAUCGGGUAUUACAAUAUCCGGUUUUUGUCACAAACUUCCAAAAAAUACAAAAAAAAUAAAAAAACAUUUUUGUGCAUACGGCCAAGUGUCUCAAAUCUAAAAAAUCAUAUCGUAUUUUUCAUAUGUAAAAAAAAAAACAAUAUUUAGCAUGCAUUUUGGCUUUAAUAACCAGUUUAUUAAAGUCAAGAGAAAUUGGCCAAAAUUUCAAAAACAACAAAAAUUUUAUUUUGUUUGUCUCUUAGAACCCGGGGUAUGACAUUACAUGUAAUGCGUAUUCCGAACAAUAAUAAACCACAACACGAUCUUAUAUUUUAUCAGACAUUAAAACAAUGCAGCCUACCUUAGGUAGGGCGUAGUUGGGGUGCUAAUACCUUCCCUUUACGCAACCAGUCUCCGUACCCGAUCUCUAAAGACCAGUUAAGGUUCCUAGUAACCAGAACACUAGGUGGCGACUCCCAUUCCAAUUUUUCACUUGUAGAGACAAGAAUUUCCUUGUCUCUCUCCCUUUUUUCCAGGAAUAAAUUAUUCCGAUUUUCCCUUGAGGGUGGACGAUCACCGCGCCGCCGCACACCUGCGACAACAUAACUCCAUAAGAGGCAUGGAAUGAAAAAAAGCCAAGUGCUACUCACUUAAAAGAAUUUGGAAGCAUUGACUAUAUACAUUUAGAUGAUCAAGUAAAGACUACGCUAGAUGACAAGAUCAAAAGGAUGAUCUUUGUGGACUAUGACCAAAAGUCCAAAUGAUAUAAGUUCUACAACCCCAAUGAAGGAGAUAUGGUGAUUAAUAGUGAUGUUGAAUUUAAUGGAGAAAAAAAUAUGAGAUUGGAAAGUAAAUGAUGAUGAUAAAUAUAAUUUUCUACCAGUUCUUGAUAAAGAGGAAGAGAGAUAUGAAGAUCAUCAAUAAUGAGCUACACCUUUACAAUCACCAAUGAUGUCAUCUUCACAUUUAUCUUCUUUUUUUGGCAGAAGUUCGAGUAGUGGUAACCUAUGAAGUUCACCAAGAAGGAUGAAGAUUCUUAAUGAGUUAUAUGAGGUAACUACUCUUAUUGAUUAUGAUGUGAUACUAUAUUAUUUCCUUGCUAUAUAUGAUCAUAUAGUAUUUGAAGAAGUAAUAAAGAAUGCAAAAUGAAGAAUUACUAUGAAUGAAGAGAUUGCAUCAAUUGAGAAGCAUGGCACAUAAAAAUUAGUUCCUAGAUCAACUAGAAAGAAGCCAAUAGGUGUCAAGUAGAUCUAUAAAGAAAAAAAAUGUCAAAGGAUAAGUGGAGAGGUAUAAGGCAAGGUUAGUGGUAAAAAAACGAUAGUCAAAAUCAUGAGAUUGACUAUGUUGAAGUGUUUGCUUUAGUUGCUAGAUUGAAGACCAUUCAAUCAAUCAUUGUCAUAGUUGUCUAACAUAAAUGGAGAAUAUAUAAAAUGGAUGUAAAAUUAGCCUUUCUCAAUGGUUUUAUCAAUUAAUCAUUGAGCAACCCAUGAGUUAUAAAGUGAAGGGAUAUGAAGACAAGAUAUUAAAGUUGAACAAAGCCUUAUAUGGAUUAAAGCAAGCCCCAAGAGCUUGGUAUAGUCGCAUUGAUGGUUAUUUAUUAAAGAAUGGAUUUGUAGAAUGCACUCAUGAACAUGUUAUCUAUAUGAAGAUACAAAAAAGAUGAUACUUUUAUUGAAUGUUUGUAUGUAGAUGACUUGAUCUUUACAGGAAAUAAUUUAAAGAUGUUUGGAGACUUCAAACAAGCAAUGAUCAAGGAGUUUGAGAUGACAAAACUUGGUUAUAUGGCAUACUAGUUAGGGAUUGAGAUCAAAUAAGGAGAGGAUGAAAUUUUCGUAAGCCAAGAUAAGUUUGUAAAGGAGAUUCUUAAGAUUCAAGAUAAAGGAUUGUGGAAAAGUGAAUACUCCAAUUGAGUGUGGAUUGAAGAUCUCAAAUAAUGAUGAAAGGGAGAAGAUAAACUCUACGAUAUUCAAAAGCCUAAUUAGGAGUUUGAGAUAUUUGACAUGCACUCGCCCAAAUAUUCUUUUUGGAGUAUAACUUGUGAAUAUAUUUAUGAAGAGACCAACCAUGACACACUUCAAAGUUUUGAAGCGAAUUCUUUGAUGUAUCAAAUAUACUAUUGAUUUUGGCUUAUUUUAUGGAUAUUAUGAUAGAUUUAAUCUUGUGGGUUAUAAUGAUAGUGAUUGUGCUAGAGAUAUGGAUGAUAGAAAGAGCACUAUUGAUUUUGUUUUUUACAUGAGAGACACAACAUUCACAUGGAGUUAAAAAAAAAAAAAGAUCUAUAAUCACUUUAUCAACAUGUGAAGAUGAAUAUACAGCUAUUACAUGAUGUGCUUGUCAUUCCAUAUGGCUAAGAAGAUUGAAUGCCACAAGAGAAGCCUACAAAGAUAUAUAUGGAUAACUCAUCAACCAUUGUCUUAGUUAAAAAUCCAGUUUUUUUAAUGACAAAAGUAAACACAUUGACAUAAAGUUUCAUUACUUAAGAGAUUGCAUUACAGAUAAGAAAGCUGAAGUCAAGUAUAUGAAGACACAAGACCAAGUCGCAAAUAUCUUCACAAAGCCACUUAAAAAUAAAAGAUAUGUUAGGAGUUAUAAAGAAAUCAAGUUUAAAAAGGGGUGUUGAAAGUUAAAUUUAAUUUCUUGUUUUUCUGAAUAAUAAAGAAACUAAUGCACCGGUUGAAUUAAAUAAAUCGGUCAUCCAAUUGAGAAACAUUUGAUCGGUUCAGUCACAAAUAAAAUUCCUAAAAAUAUAUUUUCCUUUCAAUUUUUUUUUGUUGUUGACUUUUUUACUUUACAUUACUAUUUAUACUAACUUAUCUUUCUUCCAACACAUCCUAUCUCUGCUAUGUUGCUAGCACAAAACACUCAGGUAUAACACACAAACGCACACACGUGUGUCAAGAAAUGUUUCAAUGUAUAUUAUAAUGUUUCCUGGCACUAGAUGCCAUUAAGUUGCGUGGUUAUGGAUGGGCUGGUACGUUCAGAAAAAUUCUCGAGGAUUCGCCUUACAUGUGGUGGCCUGCAACCCUUAUCUAAGUCUCUCUAUUCAGGCUUGUACUAAUACGAUCUCUAUAGAUCUUUCUUCCCUUGUGUAAUGGUGCGUGCAUAUUUAUGCAAACUGCGAGGCAUUGCAUGAGAAGGAACAGAGAAAAAAAGGAGAACGUACAAGGCUGCAAUUCUUUGCCAUUGUCUUCGUUGCAAGCUUUGCUUACUAUAUUCUUCCUGGCCACUUUUUCCCUUCACUAUCACCUCUCUCCUUUGUUUGCUGGAUAUGGAAGCUAGCGCUCGAUCACCGCUCAACAGAUUGGUGCAGGGUUAAAUGGUCUUGGAAUUGGCUUUUUGUUUUUUCAAUUUCAAGACGCAACAACAAGAGAAGACAAAGAAUUAUUACAGAGAGUAAGGCAAAUCUAAGAGGGUGAGAUCCUCUCUAGGGAUCGAGACCGAAAAGAGAAGGAAUUAUUGCAGGAGCUUGGGCAUGACUUUGAGAAGGGAAGGCUUCUUGUUCUACUUCGGUUUUCGAAGAGGGAAUUAACGGCUGUUUUGGUUUUGACUUUGGUUUUUUUCCAUAGAUACGUACGAAAAGUAAGUUUAUAUCACUCCAAUCACUUGAGAAAGGCAAGCCUCAGUAAAUAACAUUUGACGAAAUCAUUUCAACAGUUAGUCAUGGAGAAUGAAUAGGAGAUGGUAAUGCCUGAUGUGGAACACAAUCAAUCAAAUUAAGAGUUAGAAUGCUUAUUUUUUUUAAAUGAAAGUUUUUUUAUUAUUAAAAUGAAUAUUAAAUUAGUUUUUGUUUAUCUUAAUUAAUUUAUGAAUAAGCUAUGAGGACAUAAUGUAAGUAUAGAUAAAAAAAAAAAAAAAAGGUUUUAAGGAAUUUUAACAUGAUAUAUAUAUAUAUAUAUAUAUAUAUAUAUAUAAAGCACCCUCACAGGCCAAAGGAAGGAUUCAAGAGAAUAACAUAUAUUAACUGAAAGUGGAAGAGGAAAUGAUGUCCUCUUCCUCUCUAUCUUUUCCUUCACUGUUUCCACUUCCCACUACCUUCCCUCACUUUCCAAAACCUCAAAAAUAAUGAUCGCCUGAUCCACUUUCAAUACUCCACUUGAGCUAAAACAACUCCAUGCUCGCCUUAUCAAAACAAUCGAAUUAUCAAAACACAACUUAGUUAUUGCUUUGGUUGUCCUGUUGGAGUUGUUAAAACAAAGAAUGGAGUGAGAUUUGUUUUUCUUUUUGGCUUCAGGCGUUGGAGAUACCCUUACCAGUGUGUUUAUAGCAUAUACAUAAUUAGACUAGAAUCCUUCAAAGUAGGUAAAUACUGGCUGGCCCCAUUGGCCUCGUUUUUUGUCAGAAAAUGAUGCAGGAUUCAUCUCUUUUUCAUAUGAAUCGUCAGAUGCAUGUUUACUAAGUUGGCGGACAGCCAAAUUUAGGCAAGGGCUUCCUUGACUGUGAAUGUAUGGCUAUAACAUUAGAAUUUGUCUUUUUAUUGCAAACUGUCGGUCAAUGCUAGAAUAUAGAAGGCAUGCUCCAAAUAAGGACGAUGUAGGAUCGUAUAAAUAGUUUUGAUAAUGUUUGUGUUGCUUUGAAGAGAUUUGCUAAGAGCCUAGGACUAUCCUCGUACUCUCUCUCCCGGGAAAAAAAACAUAGGAGAUGUAGAGAGAGGAGCUACGAAACAUGGCAAAUUUAGUCGACGAAGCAGCGCCCCCAUUCAAGUUGCCUGAUCAUGAGAAGCAUCAUUUUGAAAUUGACGAAGCAGGUAAUCAACCAUGUGCCUCUCCUCUUCUCUCUCAUAUAUAUAUGGUUUUUGUUCAGAAAAAAAGUUGUUUUGUUGAAUACUGCUGUACAAUAUUUUUUCACAGACAAAUAUUAAAGUUGAAGAUGCUUGCUUUGUAAACGUUUAUAUUUUUAGCAUGCAUGCAUGGUGAAGUCGGGUACAGUUUGUAAUGAAUGAUAUUUUAUGGCUUGCUUAUGUAGAAGCUGAAGAAGUGAACGAUAAUCCAAUUGAGCAAGUCAGGCUUACAGUUCCAAUCACCGAUGAUCCUACACAGGCAGUCUUAACAUUUCGAACAUGGGUUCUUGGGUUGGCAGCGUGCAUCCUUCUUUCCUUUGUGAAUCAAUUCUUCCAGUAUCGUUCUAAUCAGCUAUCUAUCAGUUCAGUUACAAUACAGAUUCUUGUUCUCCCCAUAGGAAAGUUCAUGGCUGCAAAACUCCCGAAGAAACAAAUCUCGAUCCCAUUUACAAAAUGCUCAGUUUCAUUGAAUCCAGGGCCUUUCAACAUGAAAGAACAUGUAUUGAUCACCAUAUUUGCCAACUGUGGAGCCGGUGGUGUAUAUGCAGUGUACAUUAUUACAAUUAUCAAAGCCUUCUACCACAGAGGGCUCCAUCCUGUCGCUGCUAUGUUGCUAGCACAAACCACUCAGGUAUAAAACACACACACACAUGUCAAGAAAUGUUUCUAUGUAUCUUAUAAUGUUUCCUGGCACUUGAUGCAAUCCAGUUGCUUGGUUAUGGAUGGGCUGGUACGUUCAGAAAAAUUCUUGUGGAUUCGCCUUACAUGUGGUGGCCUGCAACCCUUAUCCAAGUCUCUCUAUUCAGGUAUGUACUACUUCGAUCUCUCUAGAUCAUUCUUCCCUUCUCUUGAAAAAACUUGUAUGGAAAGUCUGUUAAUUAAACACUUGUGUAAUGGUGCAUGUAUAUCUAUGCAAACUGCAGGGCAUUGCACGAGAAGGAAAAGAGAAAAAAGGGAGAACGUACAAGGCUGCAAUUCUUUGCCAUGGUCUUCGUUGCAAGCUUUGCUUACUAUAUUGUUCCUGGCCACCUUUUCCCUUCACUAUCAGCUCUCUCCUUUGUUUGCUGGAUAUGGAAGCGCUCGAUCACCGCUCAACAGAUCGGUGCAGGGUUAAAUGGUCUUGGAAUUGGCUCCUUUGGUCUUGACUGGGCGACUGUUGCCUCUUUCUUGGGAACUCCUCUAGCUUACCCUUUCUUUGCCAUUGCCAAUACUAUGGUUGGUUUCAUCUUAGUUAUGUAUGUCCUUGUCCCCAUAGCAUACUGGUCUAACUUUCGUGAAGCCAAGCGAUUUCCCAUAUUUACCUCUCACACUUUCGAUGAAGAUGGUCAGAUAUUCAACAUUACCCGUGUUCUUAAUGAGAAAACAUUCGACCUUAAUCUAGUGGAAUAUGAGAAUUAUAGCAAGCUCUAUUUAAGUAUCUUCUUCGCCUUCUUAUAUGGAUUGAGUUUUGCAUCUCUAACAGCUACCCUUACUCAUGUUGCUCUUUUUGACGGAAAGUACGCAAUCUUCCUCACCAUUAAUUUUGUUUUAUUCCAGCCUAAUUAAUUGUUUUUUGUUUGUUUGUUUUGAUAUAGAAUUUUCGUUUGCGCAGAAAUAUCAUAAACAUGUGGAAGAAGACGACAACUGCAGUGAAAGACGAGUUUAGUGAUGUGCACACAAGAAUUAUGAAGAAGAACUACGCGGUAGUCCCUCAGUGGUGGUUUACUGCCAUCUUGGUUAUAUCACUGGCUCUUUCGCUUCUGGCUGUGGAAGGUUUUGACCAUCAGCUUCAGCUUCCUUGGUGGGGACUUCUCCUAGCCUGUUUCAUUGCUCUAGCAUUCACCUUACCCGUUGGAGUUGUUCAGGCGACAACAAACAUGGUAUGAUCUUGUCUUUUGGGAAGCAAUAGACACACACAGACACAUACUCCAUCACUCAUGAACUGUGUAAACAUCUAUGCAGCAAAUCGGACUAAAUGUGAUCACAGAAUUGGUUAUUGGGUACAUGUACCCAGGGAAGCCUCUUGCUAACGUGGCUUUCAAGACGUAUGGCUACAUUAGCAUGACACAAGCACUCAGUUUUCUCGGUGACUUCAAAAUGGGGCACUAUAUGAAGAUCCCCCCAAAUCUAUGUUCAUUGUACAGGUAAAUCUUUAUGCUCAUCACCCUGUAACUAGUCUAUUUCAUUUAAAUAUAGGAUACUAACUUGGUUUUAAUGUGUCUACAGCUAGUUGGAACAGUAGUUUUCUUCCACUGUUUACUUUGCCACAGCAUGGUGGCUUCUCUCAUCUGUUGAAAACAUCUGCAAUCCAGACUUGCUUCGUGAUGGGAGUCCUUGGACCUGUCCUGGAAGCGAUGUCUUCUACAAUGCUUCAAUCAUCUGGGGAGUAGUAGGACCUCUCAGAAUGUUCACAGACAAGGGAGUCUACCCGGAGCAGAACUGGUGGUUCCUCGUUGGUUUCCUUGCUCCAGUUCCAAUGUGGUUUCUCCAGCGCAAAUUCCCUGAGAAAAAAUGGAUCAAGUUGAUUCACAUCCCCCUUAUCCUCAGUGCCUCAUCAGCCAUGCCAUCAGCGAAAACUGUGCACUACUGGUCUUGGGCAUUUGUUGGAUUUAUCUUCAACUACAUUAUUUACAGGAGGUACAAGGGAUGGUGGGCCAAGCACACCUACAUCUUAUCAGCUGCUUUGGAUGCUGGUGUUGCCUUCUUGGGAGUUAUCCUUUAUUUUACCCUUCAAUCCAAGGAUAUCUAUGGCCCAGCUUGGUGGGGUGCUGACGUUUCUGACCAUUGUCCAUUGGCAAAGUGUCCUACAGCACCAGGGAUCAAGGUCAAGGGAUGCCCUGUUCUCUAAGAAAGAUUGAGAAAUUCUACAUCUUUUAAACUAUAGGAAUUUGCGCAAGGAAAGUAUAUGAAAAAUUUGGUCGGUGACGUUGAUAGAGACUGCUUAAGGGAAAUAAAGAAGACAAAGCAGUGAAGUUCACUAAUUCAGAAGAUGUUUACUGAAACAGCCACAGCCGUUGUACAUAACAUGUCGUCUUCAUUCUAGAUUCCAGUAUUUGAGUUAUUAUUGGUUUUCUUUUUUCUUUUUUAUCGUAUGAUCUCAAUGAUACCAGUCUGACGUAGUAGAAGCUUCUGUGGAAAUAGAACGCCACCUGUUUCCGGGAAAAUUGUUCGAAUCCUCGAACCAAGAAAAUUACACUCGAAUCCACGAGUUUUAGAAAUUAAAAUUCUCCAAGAGAAAGUUCUUUAUUGAAUUCAAAAGUGCUUACAAUGAAAAAAGGCGGCCUUAAUAUAGGUUACAAGUCCUAAUUUGACUAGGAAUAUAAUUGUUUAGAAAAGAAAUAACUAGAAUAAAGAAAGCAAAUACUACAGCCACGAAAGUAAAUAAAUCCUGAUAUUAUGACAUUAAUGAGGACUCCUAAAUAAGGUGGCAAUCUGCUGGAAGAAGACUCCAAUGGUAACUGCAGUUCUUGAUUUCUUUGUAUUUAUAUUAUACCCCGCAAUCUGCUCUUCCUCUCCUCCUAUAGACUGUUCUAUAUCAGUCUCUCCUGCAUAAAAAGAACUCGACCCCGAGUGAGUUAAGUGAGAAGACGUCAUAUCCAGAGGAUGAUACUCAUACAAAUCUGCCACGUUGAAAGGAGGGGAAAUGGCCAUUUCUGCAGGAAGGUUUACAACAUAUGCGUUGUCAUUAAUUUUCUGAAGGAUCUCGAAAGGUCAAUACUUCUUGUCUUUCAGCUUGUUGUAUGCUCCUACAGGUUGUCGUCCUUUGCACAAAUAGACCAUCACAAGGUCUCCUUGAAAGGUUUGGACCCUUCGCUUUUUAUCUGUUGUAGUUUUGUACUUGGCAUUAGAAGCCUCUAAGUUUUGCCGCGCUUCUUCUUGAAUGGACUUUAUACGGUCUGCCAUAUUUUCUGCUGCAAUGCUUAAACCUGACAGUUUUGGUAGAGGAAAUAAGUCCAACGCAUGGCGUGGGGGACAACAAUAAACAAUCUGGAAUAAUGUCUUCCCAGUGGACCGGUUGAGCAUAUUGUUAUAAGCAAACUCGGUUUGUGUUAACGUAAUAUCCCACUGUUUUAGUUUUGUCCGAGAAAGGUAGCGAAUCAGAUUCCUAAGAGUGCGGUUUACUACCUCCGUCUAGCCAUCUUACUGAGGAUGGUUGGUGCUGUUAAAAUUUAGGGAUGUGUCAAACCAUCGCCAUAACGUUCGCCAAAAAUGACUCAAGAAUUUGGUGUCUCUGUCGGAUUUGAUGGACUUGAGAACCCCAUGCAGACGCACCACCUCCUUAAAAAAUAAAUUUGCUACGUGCACAUCUGUAGUCUUCUACAAGCAAUAAAAUGAGCCAUUUUAAAAUACUUGUCGACCACCACGAAAACUGAAUCCAAUCCGCGUUGGGUUCAUGGUAGGCCUAAGAUAAAAUCCAUGGAAAGAUCCUCCCAAGGUGCUGCUAGGAUAGGCAAGGGCAUAUACAAACCGGUAUUUUAGGACUGUCCCUUAGCAGCCUGACAUACGGGGCACCAUUUAACAUAGUUGCCAAUGUCUCUUUUUAACUAGGGCCAAUAAUAUCUCUCCUCAGUAAGGGCUAUUGUUUUGUCACGCCUCAAGUGUCCACCCAAGCCUCCAAUGUGCAAGUCAUGAAUUAUUUGAGCUCGUAGUGAGCUCCUAGGUAUGCAUAAUCGGUUACCAUGGAAUAAAUAGCCUUCAUGGAUAUGCAGGUUCUCCACAGGAAGCCUGAUUUGGCACUUUGUCAAACUAUCUUGAAAAUCUUCAUCUCCAGCGUACAAUUCUUUUAGGCAAUCAAACCCAAUGACUUCAGUUUGUAGAGUGACCAGUAGCAAUGUCCUUCAGCUGAGAGCAUCAGCUGCUCGGUUUAGUCGCCCAGCCUUAUGUUACAGUGUGAAUGUGAAGCGUUGAAUGAAUGAAAUCCAGCAGCCAUGCAUUCUGUUGACACUAUUCUAGCUAUUGAUAAAUCUUAGUGCCUGAUGGUCGCUAAAUAAAACAAAAUCUCAGGGUACUACGUAGUGCUCCUAGACUUUUAAGGCGCGAAAGACAGCAUAUAACUCCAGCUCAUAGGUAGACCAUUUCUGGCGAGCUUCGCUGAGUUUUUCACUAUAGAACACGAUUGUUUUGCCUUCUUGAGACAACAUAGCACCAAUACCUAUGAUGGAGGCAUCACACUCUACUUGAAAUAAUUUAUCAAAAUUUAGGAGUGCCAGAACUUGGGUCGAUGAUAGUUUUUCUUUGAUCAGUUUGAAGCUCUGCUCUGCUGCUUCUCCCCAAUAGAAUUUCCCUAUCUUCAUGCACUCAGUAAUGAGUGUGACUAUUCGGCUAAAAUCUCUAACAAAUCGUAUGUAAAACGUUGCUAGUCCAUGAAAACUACGGACCUUGCUUAUUGUUCACGGAGUUGGCCAAUCUCGAAUGGCGCAGAUCUUUUCCUCAUCUACCUUAAUUCCAUCAACACUUAUUAUAAACCCCAAGAAUAGCAAGCUAUUGGUCAUAAAGCUGUAUUUUUUUAAAUUAACGUACAACAUAUUUUGUUGCAGAAUUUUAAGUACUUACCUCAAAUGUUCAACAUGGUCGUAUUGGGUUUGGCUGUAGAUUAAUAUAUCAUCGAAGUAUACCACCACAAAUUUUCUUGUGAUAGGUUUUAGUACCUGGUUCAUAAACCGCAUGAAAGUACUGGUGUAUUGGUUAGCCCGAACGGCAUUAUUAACCACUUAUAUAAUCCCUCCUUUGUUUUAAAAGCAGUCUUCCACUCGUCUCCUAGUCUGAUCCGAAUUUGUUAGUACCCACUUCGCAAAUCAAGUUUUGAAAAGACUUUGGACCUGGAUAACAUGUCCAGCAUAUCUUCUAAUCAAGGGAUAGGUAACCUGUAUUUAAUUGUGAUCUUGUUGAUUGCUCGAUUGUCGAUACACAUGCGUCAACUACCAUCUUUCUUUAGCACUAACAAGGCUGGUACUGCACAAGGGCUCAUGCUCUCCUGUACUAAUCCCUUCUCAAUCAGUUCUUCUACAUGUGCUUGCAGAACCUAACUUUCCUUGGGAUUCAUCCAAUAGUGGGGACGAUUUGGCAAACUAGCUCCUAACAUGAAAUCAAUCUGAUGUUGUAUGUCCCGUACAGGAGGCAAUCCAUUAGGUAGGUCUAACGGUAUCACCUCUUGAAAUUCCUCUAGUAAUGGUAACAGUGUGGGUGGAAUGUCUAUAGAAUCCCUGCCAACUUCUCCUCUUACUACUACGGCAAAAAUCUUUCUGGCCUUCUUAGUCUCUUCCAUGAAUUUUCCCUCAUCCACUAGCAAUACUGGUUUUCCUUGUGACUUCGAUUUAAUGCUGGCAAACUCUUUUUUUAUAGGACCUAGAACGACCUUCAUGCCCCCCUUUAUGAAGACAUAAAUGUUGUCAUGGCCCCUGUAAGUGGCAUCUACAUCAUACUGUCAGGGGCAUCCCAGGAUUAUAUGGCAGGCAUACAUUUCCACCACAUCACAUGUAACCUCAUCUACAUAAUUCUUCCUAAUUGAGAAUUUAAUGUGGCAAACUUCAGUCACUUUGACUUCAGUGCCACAUUUGAUCCAGCCAAUUUUAUACGGUGCAGGAUGCUUCCUAGUUUGCAAUCCCAAUUUAGUAACCAUUGCUUUUGAUACUAUAUUUUCGCUAUUGUCACUGUCAAUGAUAAUAUCACAGACCCUCUUGUUCACAGUGCACCUGGUUCUGAAUAUAUUAUGCUGUUGGGAGGGUUCUUCUCAUUUUGGUGUUAAUAGUAGUCGUUGAAAUACAAGAGACUACGACAAUAGUUCUUCCUCGUCGCCUCCUGUUACUUCUUCUUUUUCAUACGUAUAGGCUGCUCCAUUAUCAUCUUUCCCUAUAUCAAAGAGGUACUCUUCUUCUGGCUCUAUUAGGUUCACGGUACUCCUUCUUGGACACUGGUUGGAACGGUGUCCUGGUUGUCCACAUCUAUAACAUUUAUCCAAACCUGGAUGGGCAUAAGGAUUUCUGGGCGUCACCUCGGGUGGAAUGGUGUUGGCAGGCUUUGUUGGUGCUCCACUGCUGCUUGUUCCUCGUAUAGUGUUAGAGAAAGAGGGUUGAGUUGUUGAAGUCAGAGAGGUCAUCGGAUUUAUUUCCACUAAUUUUUCUAUAAACAGAAAGGUCGUCCAUAUUUUUUAUGAGAUCAAAAUAUUUGGUUUUCUCAUCAAAAUGGAUAUUCCAAAUCCUUGUAUACUUUAUUGGAAAAUGUUUUAGAUUCAAAACCUUCAAGUUGUGUCAAAUACACAUCUUCAUGAAGAUUCUCAUUCAGAAAUGAAGUUGUGACAUCCAUUUGUCAAAUCUCAUAAUCAUUGUAUGCAUCUCCAAUAAAAAGAUCUUUGUUUCAUCAAAGUCAACCCUUUAUCUUUAUUUGUAACCUUUAACAAAUAGUUUAGCUUUGUACAUUUAUAAGUUGUCAUCAACCCACUUAUAUCCUAUGAGUUUUAUACCUUUUUAGCCCUAGUUGGUGUUUAUGGAAUCCAUCUUAUAUUUCAUGGCCUCAAGCCAUUUCUUAUAAUUAAUAUUAGAUAUUGUUUCCAUGUAAUUGGUAGGCUAAUCAAAUAUAAGUAAUUCAUCAUUUUCAAUUUCCAUAAGAAGUUAAUAACUCAUAGAGUUCUUGUGUUUCUUAAGCUUCAGGUUAAAUGUUAUAGCCUCGAGCUUGAGGUCUAAUUGGAUGAUAUUUUUAGUUUAGGAAUUUCUUUAAGUUUAUUUUUCUCUCACUACUCUUUUCGAAAAAAAAUUAUUUCCAUCGAAAUAUAGCAUGUUUUGAGACAAAAACCCUUUGUCUCAAUAAGAUGGUAAAAAAAUAUCCAAUAGUUUCUUUUGGAUAUCCAACAAAUUUAUAUUUGUCUAACUUAACUCUUAGCUUUGCAAAUACAAUACACGUUAUAUAAGUCUCACAUCUUUAAAUCUUUAAAUAUGAUGAGUUUGGUCUCCUACCUUUUCAUAUCUCAUAUAAAUUAUGAUAAAUAGUUUUUAUUGAAACUCUAUUUAAAAAGUAAGCAAUAGCUUGUAAGGAAUAAACCUAUAAAUAAAAUGGAAGGUUUACAUAGCUCAUCAUGGACCACACUAUAUCAAUUAAGAUGUUCAUUGCAAUUCCUCAUUUAGUGGCCUUCUUUGUCACAAUGAUAACAGGUACCCUUAUAUUUCUCGAUGCCCUAGUAGGCUUGUGUGCUUUAGAGAUAUAAUCCUUAUUAUCUUUAUCUUCUUGCUUCUUGUUUUUUUUUUAACUUUUUAGAAGACUAGACUAGGAGAAUAUAGCUUCUUCUUUUUUGCCUUUUUUUAGGGCCUCUUUAGCAAUGUUAAACAUAUUGAGUAGUUUUAUCAAUGUAUUAUCCAACGUAUUCAUGUGAUAGUUCAUAAUGAAUUGUGAAACGCCCUUAUGUUAAACACAUUUAACUCAUGCCUAUGAUAAAGCCCAAUUAAGCUAAUUUCUUAACAUACCCAAUCAUUUUCAAAAAAGGAUGCUCACAUACCCAAUUAAGCUUUCCUCUUCUUCCCUCACUUCCCUUAUCUUCUCUCACUAAACUCUAUUUUCUCUUAAUUUCCUCUCUUAAUUACAAGUGUUAGAGUGUUUAGAAUUGAAGGCACGCUCCACAUCCAUCAGGUGUGCCUCCACAAGAGCUUUUAGGUGAUAAGUAGUUGACCAUCUUUUUCCUGUUUGACAUUAUCGCACAAGUUACCCAAAAACUGCAGGCAACAUCAUACACAUGUGUCAACAACUUUUUUUUUUCUAUGAUAUUUAUUUUUUUAUUAAAAUACUAAUUUGCCUCUCAUGUAAAUUGAAAAAAAUAAUCAUGAUAAAAAAACAUAAAAACCCUGAUAGCAAGUUUUGCUUUUUUUUAUUUUUUGAAGUAUUUUAAUCUUUUAGCUAUUUUGAUAAAAACAAAAAAAAAAGAUUGAAAUCCUUAUUAGCCAAACAAUUGUUUUUUAUUUCAAAUAUAGUAACUGCACCAUACAACAAAAAUGUAAAACUGUAAAAAUCUAUUUUAAUCUAAUUUUUUAUUCCAAGGGUAUAUGGUAACUGCACUAUUCAAUUUGAAAAUACCAACUAAACUCAAUGAAAAAAUCAUUUCACCUCUUAAUCCACUCCUUUCUUGCUAUUAUGUGAACAAAAAAACAAUUUCAUGUGAUUGAGUAAUGUCAUGUGUCUAUCCAUCGCAUAACCCCUUUAUUUAAUUUUUUUUUCCCCUAAGGCUUGCCUUUCUCGAGUGAUUGGAGUACUAUAGCUAACUUCCGAAACCCAUAUAAAUGAGAUGAGGUGGUGGGAGGCACCACCCCACAUCGCCUACUUGCAUACUAAUUCGCCCUUUUUUCUAGCCUUACGUCUCCGGUACAAAUAUUCUUUUUGAAUUCAAUUGUAUGAGGGCUAAUGCUUUGCCCUCAAGAUCACAUGAUAUGGCAUCAAUACAAGAACUCUUAGUAAAUCACCUACCAAACUACAUAUCCAGUCAAUUUGAUGAGGGAAAUAGGAGAUUAAACAGAUAGUAGUGAUGUAUUUAUGGAGAGGGGCAGCCUUUCCACUUUUAAAACUCUUAACUUCAACACAGUACUACUUCUCAGGAGAAAAUAUCGGGUUCCUUAUCUGGGAAACUUCACAAUUUAACACACAUAUCACUGCAAGAUUUUCUUAUUAAUGGCAACCACGAGCCCAAUGAUCAUCCAAAUACAGAUGCGUGGCUGGGGCCAACCUUACUCGAAGAGUUCUGGAUUCAGCCAGUCCCUGUAAAUACAAAAACAAAUUGCUGAUAUGAUUUCUAUGGAUAAAUAAGGUGCAAAGCAGUGCCUGAUGCUAAACUUGUCUGCAUGUAUAUGAAAACAGAAGACACACCAUUCCACACACUCGACACAUGCAUAUGAUGCUUACUUGGUAAUGUCAUCAAGGUGGUCAUCAAAGUCUACCACAUCCUCCCACUUCUUGGAUGAAAUAUAAUCCAAUAGAACAGCAUUUGCUGCUGGUUCCUUAGUUGUCAAUCGGCAGCCUCCAUCGGAUCCAGCUAGCUUCCAGUUCUUGGAUGCAUCCCUUGUAUAAAGCUAGUACAGAAAAGGGAACAAAUGUACUUGACGCUUGACUGAAAAUUCAUUAAAUGGGACCAUCAUACUAGUGUUCAUCUAUCAAUUAGUAAGUGGUAUGAAUUAAUGGUGGUGAGAUGGCCGGGGGGCGAGAUUGUUUAAUUUUUGCACAAGGCAGUGACCUAUAACAGAAUAAUCACAAAAGUAACUGUCGAGAUGCUAACAUAGGAGAAACCAAGAAAUUAAGAAGUCUCGAAAGAAAAGUUCAAACAGAUAACUACAUCAAAAACAUAUCAUGUUGCUGAUAGCAUGAAAAGGACCUCAGAUCAGUAAACACAUAGGCACGUAGCAAGUUGCAUUUCUGUAAAAGGUAACUUGACAGAUGAUCACUGAUAUUCCAACAUAUCUAUAAAUCACGAAAUAUGGAUAAACAAUUAAAUCUGGCAUCUAAGUAGAGUUAUAGUUAUCAUCAAUAGAACCAUUAACUUCCUAUCAGACUACAGAGCAGCAACAGAGAGAUCACAUGAGAGUUUAAAAGCUAGUUGAAGAGAAGUAUGGAUGCCCCCAGCACAAGGUAAUGUCAAGCUUCAUACAGAUACUACUAUCUGCCCUGAUGCUCAGAAAACAGGAUUGGUAUGCACAAUUCGUGAGCACAAGGGAAAUUCUUAAGCUACUCACAACCAGAAAUAGGAGAGGCAAUGCCAAUUGCAUUAUGGAAUCCAUAGAGUAACAAAUGCAGAUUACAGAAGCCUCCUGGUGGAAAAUGAUAGUGUAAUAGUUGAUGCACUAGGAACAACCAUCAAUUGAACUCACUCUAUUGAUAGAGUACAUCGCGUGUUGCCUACCUCCUGAAACUUUUACAGGAUUCUAAUUGAAAUGGGAAGCCAAUGGCAUGAUUACAAACUAGUAAAAUUAGACCCAAACGCAAACUGAGAGCUUCCUGUUCAAGUAAUAGAUAAUGCAGGGUCAUGGUGACCUGAAUUAUUAAAAUCAAUGGAUUCAUUAAAAUCUCAUAAAUAAAUCAAUCUCUCCACAUAGAACACCAUGGCUCUUCCUUUUGUGAUAUCACUCCAUCCCAGCACAGAAUUCAAUGCAUGUGCAUUUAUUCAUCCAUACAAUGGAGACCCAAACAGACAUGAAAUUUUCACACAAAUCAAGACAGGGCUGCACACCAGUUCCAAAUACAAAUGGAAACCCAAACUUAAAACACAAAAUGAACUCACUCAAUUCCGCCCAGAUCCAACUGGAGAAUAAAUUGAGACCCAACUUGAUUUGCUAGCAACAACAUAAUGGAGGCAGUGAAUCAAUAUGGAUUGAUCUGAUUUCAGACAAAUUACACAUCAUACGAUUCCUAGUAGAAACAAUACUAGAAACAAUGGCCAAAUACUAACAUAUCAUGAACCCAAGUUGUCCAUAAACCAUAACACAGAAUGAAUUCUCACACAGCACAACCCUCUCUUUUAAAAGAGAGAUGGUGAUGCCAAGUCAGGCAGUUCAUGAAUGUGUUAGACUAGCUUUAGCUCUCGGGAUAAGCAACUGUUCUUAGAGACUAUGCCUGGGGCUAUCAACUCUGAUGUAAAUCAUUUGAAUUUGAAAUGGAAGCCUGUGUUUCUAUUCGAGAUCAAGAGAGAGAGUUCUUGUGGAAAAUUAAAUUCAUGCAAGAUUAUUCUGACAUUGAAAUUGGAGAACAAAAGGCGCCAGACAUCAACAGCAUUUUUAGACACCACUCAGUGCUCUUCAAUUAGUCUUACAGCAACCAUCAAAAUCAAAUAUUUUUUAUUUCUCAUAAAGACUAAUAAAUUAUUUUUACAAAUUGGAAAAAGGAAAAAGACUUUUUCAUUUUUCCAUGAUAAACCUUGGGGUUGGGAAACAUCUAGAUGUUCUCCAAAUUUUUCCACCCGCUAAAAGCAUAAUGGAAAAGGCGCUUGAUUAGUAUUUAAAAGUGUAUUUUUAUCAAGAUUUUAUAUCAUCAUUUUGCACUUGAAGUAUCAAUAAUUCCUUAACUAAAACAUGUUUUAUAAUAACAUACCUAAUAAUAUAUGAUACUUUUAAUUUAUGAUAAAUGUUCAUCUUAAAUGCAAGCCUAUCACAUAAAUGAAAUGAAUGAUUGAUGAGUUCAAGUAUUGAAAUUGAAAGGACAAAGAGAGGGUCAAACUUAGAAAAGAGAUGUUGGUGCAGUCCAAACUGGAACAAUGUUCGGUAAUUGGAUCAUAUCUCGAGUUCUAGAUGUCUAAAUGACCUCAAAUUUUUGAAAACAUUCGGUAAGACAUAAACCUACAACUUUCAUGUGGAGUCAAAGAUUUAAAAAGACCGUUUUCAAGUCCAAAUUAUAGCAACAACGGAGAAGUCCGAAUUUGUCCUGCAACCUAGACACUGUUCAGUAAUCAGCUCAUAUCUCGAGUUCUAGAAAUCCAAAUGAUCUCAAUUUUUUUUUCCUAGAAAGCUAAAACAAUUUCCUAUAACUUUCAUUAGUAUAGGUGGUUCCAGUUCUGAUGUUAGCAAUGACGUUUUAUUCAGACAAGAAAAUAAGGAUUUUCACCAAGUCAAGAGUUGGUCACCCACUCAAUAAUUAGUCAUCAAAUCAAUAGUUUCAAAUUUUGACCUAUAAAAGGAGGCAUUUGCCAUGCAUUGAGGGGCUUGGUUAUUAAGAUCAAGAACUUGUUCUUGCUCUCUCUCUUUAUACUUUUUUUUAAAAAAAAAUUCUUAAGUUUUGCUUUCAUUAAUAUCUUGUUUAUGUUUUUCAUUUCAUUUCCUUUACUUAAUUAACUUGUAUCUUAUUUAUGUUCUUCUUUUAUUUAUUUAUGUUUUUCUUCUUCAUUAUAUUUAGCUAAGUUUAUUAUAUCAAGGUGAAAAGGUUACACUAAUGGUGUCAGAAUAAGUAUAGUGUAAACUCAACAUGGACCUUAAUGUUUAAUAUUAACAUGUCUUAUCUUUUUAUCUUAAUAAUUCUUAAUACAUUGCUUCUUAAAUGGUUAAUCUAGAUUUGUGUUGUAUAACACUUGGUACAAACAAAUGAUUGGCACUCUCGUAGUCCAACCGUAUGGUAUUACCUACACCUGUACUAUGAAAGGAACUUGAUUUGUUAUUAACAUAAGUUAGCAUCAUGAAUUCCUCACAAUAUUUAAAAGUUUGGUGUUAUGUAAAUAAGAUAAUUAAUAUGAUCAUGUUAAUAAUUUAUAAUGAGCUAUAAUGACAAAUCAUCCGAUUGGAACCUCAUUUAUGUGUGGUUUCCAGUUGAGUAAUAAGAGUUUAUAAUAUACUUGUUUGAAAUACUAUUAGUGUAUCCUCUAACCUUGACACUUGUUUUUAUUAUUGUUUAAUCCUUACAUUAAUCUUUCAUCUCAAAGUUCUCAUCAACUUCUUCUUUGUUGUUGUUGUUCUUGUUCUUGUUCUUGUUAUCUAUAAUUUAUACAAUUAUAAUGUCAGGAGAACUCCCGGCAACGGCACCAAAAACUUGACACGACCAAAAAAUUGAUGUCUUCUCCCAAGUGUAGGAGUGUCGAAGUAAUAAAUAACCCGGCAAGACCGGGAUCUAACCACAAGGAGGUUAAUUGUAUAAAUUAUAGACAACAAUAAUACAACAACAACAACAAUAAGAAUAAGAAUAAGAAUAAGAAUGCUGAUAAUAAUAAUAAUAAUAAAAUAAUAAUAAAGAUGACGUUGAUGAGAACUUUGAGAUGGAAGAUUAAUAUCAAGAUUAAACAAUUAUAAAAACAAAUGUCAAGGUUAAAGGAUCCACUAAUGGUAUUUCAAACAAGUAUAGUAUAAACUCUUAUUACUCAACUGGAAACCACACACAAAGAAGGUUCUAAUCGGAUGAUUUGUCAUUAAUAGUUCAUUAUAAAUUGUUAACAUGAUCAUAUUAAUUAUCUUAUUUACGUAACACCAAACUUUUAAAUAUUGUCAAGAAUUCAUGAUGCUAACUUAUGUUAACAACAAAUCAAGUUCUUUUCAUAGCACAGGUGUAGGUAAUACCAUACGGUUGAGCUAUGAGAGUGUCAAGCAUUUGUUGCACCAAGUGUUAUACAACACAAAUCUAGAUUAAUCAUUUAAGAAGCAAUGUAUUAAGAAUUAUUAAGAUAAAAAGAUAAGACAUGUUAAUAUUAAACAUUAAGGUCCAUGUUGAUUUAACAUUAUACUUAUUAUUACAUUAUUAGUGUAACCUUUUCACCUUGACAUAAUAAACUAAGCUAAACAUAAUGAAGAAGAGAAACAUAAAUAAACAAAAUAAGAACAUAAAUAAGAUACAAGUUAACUAAGUAAAUGAAAGGAAAUGAAAAGCAUAAACAAGAUAUUAAUGGAAGCAAAACUUAAGAAUUACAAAAAAUAUAAAAAAAGAAAAAAAAAGCAUGAUCUUGAUCUGAACAACUAAGAUGCCUAAAUGCAUGGCAAAUGCCUCCUUUUAUAGGCCAAAAUUUAGAACUAUUAAUUUGAUGACUAAUUGUUGAGUGGGUAGCCAACUCUUGACUUGGUAAAAAUCCUUAUCUUCUUGUCUGAAUAAAACGUCAUUGCUAGCAUCAGAACUGGAACCACCUAUACUUAUUAAAGUUAUAGGAAAUUGUCUUAUCUUUCUAGAAAAAAACAAUUGAGGUCAUUUGGACUUCUAAAACUCAAGAUAUGGGCUGAACAGUGUCUGGGCUGCAGGACAGAUUCGGACUUCUCCGUUGUUGCUAUAAUUUGGACUUGAAAACGACCUUUUAGAUCUUGGACUCCACAUGAAAGUUGUAGGCCUAUGUCUUACCGAAUGUUUCCAAAAAAUUAAGGUCAUUUAGACAUCUAGAACUCGAGAUAUGACCCAAUUACCGAGCAAUGUUAUAAUUUGGACUGCACCAACAUCUCUUUUUUAAGUUUGACCCUCUUUUUGUCCUUUCAAUUUCAAUACUUAAACAAAUCAAUCAAUCCUUUCAUUUAUGUGAUAGGCUUGCAUUUAAGAUGAAUUUUACCAUAAAUUAAAGGUAUCUUAUAUUAUUAGAUUGUUAUUAUAAACAUGCUUUAGUUAAGGAGUUAUUGAUACUUUAAGUGCAAAAUGAUGAUAUAAAGCCUUGAUAAAAAUGCACUUUUAAGCUAAUCACACCCCCCAACUAGCUUAUUACUAGUCCCUGGUAAUCAAAGCGUUAAAAUAGAAAAACAAUUUGCAAAUUCCACAAAGCAAGGCAUUCAUCGUUCAACUUCCAUUAAUCUAUCCAGAUAAACAAACUCUCAUUAAAUUCAUAUAUCUACUCAAAACCUCUUAAACAAGAUAUUAAUAAACCUUUCUUUUGUGCUUAAAAUAUCAACAUAUAGUUAUGGAGCUUUACUUGGAAGAAAACAAAAUUUUUGUUCUAAAAUUUAAGGUUAACUUCCUUGGGUUAGGAUUAUCAUCUUUUUCAUCUUUUUUUUUUAAAUAUAUAUACAUAUAACUUAAAACACAAUGCAUCUUUAACCCAUGUAACGAGCUUUCAGCUAAUGACUCCCAAACCAGUUGGUCUUAGGGCAUUAGGUGUUGAGACACCCCUACGAGCUUAGUAACUCAGGUUGCAGAUAUUGAUACGUAUAACAAUGUUUGAUUCCCUUAAGCUUUUCUCUCAACCCAUGUAACAAGCGUUGGGCCAAUAGCUCCCAAGUCAGUUGACUUUAGGGUAUUAAGUGUUAAAACAGGGCUUAAUUGCUUAGGUUAUGGAGGCUACGAAACCAAAUCUUCUACAUUUUUUUUUUUUUACAAAUUUUAUAGUAUCUAUUUCCCUUAGUUGUUACCUUUAACAAAAAAUAGAAUAAUGUAAUAAUCCAAUGUGCAACCCACAAUCAUAUGUUAAAGUGUGUGUGAAAAUAAAGAUUUAAGAAUACUUGUUAAAUGAGCAUUUGAACAGAAUCAAGUGAUAAUAAUGCGAGAGUUUGUAAACCUGAAUAUUUCAAGAAAUAUUCUGAUAGACCUUGUUAAGAAUGUUUACUAAGAUGCGUCUCAAGAGUCACUUUAACAAAAGAACUCAUUUUACUCUGUCAUCCUAGUAACAACAGAUAAAAAGAUAAGACAUGUUAGUGCUUCUCCUUGUUCUUUUUUUAUAAUGACAACUGUAUCCUACACACACACCUAUUAUCCCUGCCAUAUGAAUAACAACAACGCCAAUGCCAGAUUUGCAAACCCCCCCCCCCCUCCUCCUGAGCAGCCCAAAUCAGUAGAUAAAACACCAUGAAAAACAACAUCAAUUGGAUUGAUUCAUUCUCUAUGUAAUAAAUCAUAGGCAUGCCAUUGAAGGCAUAAAGCAAUAGUAAUCUGUGGAUAUAUCAAAAGCAGUGGUUCUGGCGCCACUCAGAAAAGGUUAUAGAAGGAUAAUGUAAUAUUUAUCUUCUCAGUCGCUGCACAGGCAACCAAAGGCUCUUUUAUGAUGGCACCAACACUUGCUAAAUGUUCCCAGCAAACAUUAGACGUUUUCCAAAUAACACAACCGGGAUAAGACAAAGCUACUAACCUGCAAAACAGGGAGCCGAUCUUUCCCCUUUGGCAAAGCUUCAAGCUUUUUGUUAUCUAACUGCAUAGAAAAGGUUCAAAAUGAAAGCCAGAAAGAAACAACCGACAAGAGCAUCAUCAUCUACAACAGAAAGAAUACAUACCAAAAGAAUGGCAGCUUGGGGAAAGUAGCGAUAGAUGUGAUCGCCAAUAUUCUUUGCAACGUUACCAAGCUCCACAUCAUCAGACCUCUCAUUUGCGUGAAAGUAACCCACUAUACCCAAACCUCGAGCGCUAUAAUACUCCUCUAUCUAUUCACAAACAAUUCAAGAAAACCAUUUUUUUUUAGAAAAAAAAAUCAACAAUCUCAUCUCAUAAGUAUAAAUCAAUCCCAGAACUUUUCAAAUUAUAACUAAGAAGUAUAUGUUAAUUACAUUGAAUUAACAAAGGAUCUUACUUUUAUUAACCAAAAGUGGAAAAGAAAAUAUUGAUUACUAGUUGUUUACCAUGAUGAGAGAGAUCUCGAGAGGAGGCAGGAGACCUAGGUGGUUGUGGAACAGAGGGACAGAGUCGAUGAUCUGGACAACAUUGUCACAGGAACUGCCAACGAAAACCCCGUUGACGGCGGAGGUUUUGUGCUUGAGAGAGUGGAGUACUAGUUUUAUGUAGGCGUUUUGUGAAAUCUCGUAUCUCAAUUCACCACCACCACCACCCAUUUCAAUACGAGAAAAUUGCCUCGUCUCUUGGCUUCGUCUGUCUGUCUAUCGCUCUCUCUUCCU